AUUUAUUUAUGUAUUUAUAUAUUAUGCGUUAAUUCAAAGAUAAACAUUCUCUUAAUAGUAUUGUAGGAGUGUUACGUGGUAGUAAAAAAAUAGAUACGCAUGCUAUGUACUGUUACUCAUCGAUGACACCGAUAUAACUUAAUUAACAACAUUUACAAAACUCUAAAAUAAUUCUUUGACUCUAAUAUUUUAUUUAAACAACAGGUGGUGCAAACGGGAAUGUUGGCUUGGAUAGUUCAUGAACUCGGCGCCUGGCGAAGUAUUUGCUAUACCUAAGAAACAAAAACAGUGGUGCAAACAUGAUCUCGGCGCUUGGCGAAAUUUUUGCUAUGCCUAACAAACGAAAACGAUAAACACCAGCUCGGGUGUCAAAGAAGAUAUGGAACAUGAAUCGAUAGGCACUCGAUCACUGUAUUGCAACGAUAUUGCCAUCCCGUUCAUUCUCUUUGUAUAAAGAGAGAUACCAAAAAUGUUCUUUUCCAUGUGUUACUGUGGUUUUAAUCCGCAUAGACACUGGUAUUGAUAAUUAUCGUUUUCUCUGUUUUUCUCAAAGAGAAUGUAAGGGACGUCAAUAUGGGUCAAUACGAGUGUCUGCAGUCGAAACCCAUAGUUACGACAGUCAGCCUUGGAAGUAGAAAUGGGGGGGAUUUAAAAAAGACUUGGAAUUUUGAAGCAAAAA